AAAUAAGUAAGCUAAACUAACAAGCUUUUAGGUUCAUACCCUAAAUAUAGAGCCGAAAUCUCUUAUUUA
rnacentral:tRNA from 1 species